rnacentral:rRNA from 1 species
AUUGAACGCUGGCGGCAGGCCUAACACAUGCAAGUCGAGCGAGCGGCGGACGGGUGAGUAAUGUAUGGGGAUCUGCCUGAUGGCGGGGGAUAACUACUGGAAACGGUAGCUAAUACCGCAUACUAUCGGAUGAACCCAUAUUGGAUUAGCUAGUAGGUGGGGUAAAGGCUCACCUGGGCGACGAUCUCUAGCUGGUCUGAGAGGAUGAUCAGCCACAUGGGGACUGAGACACGGCCCAGACUCCUACGGGAGGCAGCAGUGGGGAAUAUUGCACAAUGGGCGCAAGCCUGAUGCAGCCAUGCCGCGUGUAUGAAGAAGGCCUUAGGGUUGUAAAGUACGUUCAGCGGGGAGGCGUUACCCGCAGAAGAAGCACCGGCUAACUCCGUGCCAGCAGCCGCGGUAAUAC